rnacentral:rRNA from 1 species
UACGGGGGGGGCAAGCGUUGUUCGGAAUUACUGGGCGUAAAGGGCUCGUAGGUGGCCAACUAAGUCAGACGUGAAAUCCCUCAGCUUAACUGGGGAACUGCGUCUGAUACUGGAUGGCUUGAGUUUGGGAGAGGGAUGCGGAAUUCCAGGUGUAGCGGUGAAAUGCGUAGAUAUCUGGAGGAACACCGGUGGCGAAGGCGGCAUCCUGGACCAACACUGACACUGAGGUGCGAAAGCGUGGGGAGCGAACAGG